rnacentral:misc_RNA from 1 species
AUUAAACGCCGCGACGUUGCCAGCUGAGUCUCAUACAAUAUAUGACUCCCUGGAAAAACAGAUAAUAUAUGCCAAGAGCCAAAAAAAAAUAAACACUCCUCGAAACAAAAACUAACACAGAGCCGGUCGAAAAUUGUAAUUUACGUCCAAUAAAACGGUUCUGUUUACUAUUACACGAAUGCAAAUUGAUGGCUGGCCGGCGCCGUUCGACACUAAAAAUAACUUACAGCGGAAUAUACAGCACACACACACACAAUAUAAAGUCCCUCACUCACAUCGAAUUUGAUUACAUUCACUUCGGCGGUUGCAACAUUAUUGGGUUAAACGUUCAUUUUCAAAUGGUCCAUUUAAAACUGCGGGGCAGUUUGGGUUCCGGGGGGGAAGAGUUUUCGCACAUAUAUACGCACGUACGCAUUUUUUUGGCACGCGCGACUCUCGCGAAGUAAACAACGACGCGAUUCUCGGUAUCGGGCGCUCGCCGGUGCCAAAACCCGUUAAAUUUAGCGAUUCGGUCAUUCAACGUGUCCACCGUCGCGGCGCCUCCUGACGACGAUGCCGCCCCGACGCCCGUCCACGAAGACUCUUUUUUUUUUCUUACAUUUGCAAUUAUUGCAGGCCAUCAAUCCAAGAUCUUCAAGGGAGUUAGAGUUUGUGGCAAAGACUUUGGCUUUUAGAUAACCCCAUAAAAAAAUCCAAAGGGGUAAGAUCGGGAGAUCUAGCAGGCCAAUUUACGGUACCUCUCCGGCCAAUCCAUCGUCCAGGAAACACGUCGUUCAAAAAAUGACCUGUAGCGCGUAACUCGGUUCAAACCAAUUUAUUUCCAACCCGUGUGAGUCAUACCUACUAUCCAACCACAAAAAAAUUACUCCAAAAAAAAAAAAAAGUCCAGACAAGUAAAUUUUGUUUUAAAAGAUUCAGAGAUUUGGUGGCCGCCAGCUUUUAGACAGUGGAGAAGGUAGUGGAAGAAAUUUUAAUAAGAGCGCCACUUGAUUUCAAUGGUACUAAAUGAUAGAAUGAAUUUUUACAUAUGUUAGAUAUUAAUGAUCCAUUUUUUUAGAUAUACAGUAUCGGACAAAAUUAGAGAGACUUCUCUAUUUGCCAACUCCAAUUUUUUGUACUUGAAAUAAUAUUAAUAUUUGUUAAGCAGUGUAUACCGGAGUUGACAAGAAUUCUAUUAUCAACAAUUCAUUUUUGUAGCUCAUGUUUACAUUUAUUUAAAGAAUGUUUUUAACAUUGAUAAAAAAUUACUGCGACAGAAACUCAUUUUGUGUUUAGUUUCGCUGAAGUCGCGAUUAGUUUAAUUUCUGUUUAUUAGUUUGAGAAUAUCAUUAGCAAUGCCUCGUGGUAAACAUUAUUCCAUAGACCUAAAAGAAAAAAUUAUAAAAGCCUAUAACUCAGGUCGCUCACAAAAAUUAAUAAAAGAGCAAUUCAACGUCAGUAAACAAAUGGUUUCCAGAACAAUAAAAAAUUAUCAGCUCCGUGGAAGAGUGACAAACCUUAAAAGAGGUGGCCGCAAGAGAAAAACCUCAGUACUGCUGGACAGGAGAAUUAAACGACUAAGUCAGAAUAAUCCGCGUCUAUCUUCAACACAGAUUUUGGCUGAAUUGGAGGCGCCUGGGGUUUCAUCCAGGACUGUGCAACGGCGAUUAGUGGAGGCGAGGCUUCCUGGAAGGAGACCAGCAAAAAAACCCCAUCUAUCAAAAAAAAAUUUAGCUGCUAGAAUGUUAUUUGCAACACGUCACCGUUACUGGACAGCUAAGGACUGGAAUAAGGGUUUGUUUAGUGACGAGUCUAAAUAUAAUAUUUUUGGAAGUGAUGGAGCGCAGUUCGUACAUCGCCCAGCAAACAAAAGGCUUGAUCCAAAAUAUGUUUCUGGUACUGUGAAGCACGGAGGUGGCAAUUUAAUGGUUUGGGGUUGUUUUUCGGGUUAUGGAAUGGGUCCUAUCCACAAAAUUGAGGGCACUAUGGAUAGAUUUAUGUAUCGGACUAUACUGGAAGAUGUAAUGUUGCCUUACGCCGAAUGGGAAAUGCCGCUAAGAUUCACGUUCCAACACGAUAACGACCCCAAACUUGUGAAGGAAUGGUUUUUGGCUAACAAAAUUCAAGUUUUAAAAUGGCCACCGCAAUCGCCGGACUUAAACCCAAUUGAAAAUCUUUGGGAGAUUAUAGAGAAAAAGAUUCGCACUAAAAACAUCGGGAAUCGUGCUCAAUUAUUUGAAGAAAUCGAGAAUGCCUGGAAAUCAAUGGAUCCGGCUGUAAUUUCGAAUCUCAUUGGAUCGAUGCCGAAUAGAUGUGAAAAAGUUAUCCAGAAUAAAGGGUACUGGACAAAGUAUUAGGUUAGUUUCAUUAGUAUAGGGUACAAAUGUACUUUAAGGAUAAGUCUCUCUAAUUUUGUCGCACAGAAUUUUUUGCAUUUUUUUAUUUUUCCUAAUAAAUCUUGAGAAAUGUUUUUUUUUUUUUAAAUUUAUUUUAGUGCCUUUUUAAACUACUUCAAAACAUAACAUCCUUCAGCACAAAAAGAGGAAUUUAAUCAUUUUUAUCUUACAUAAAAGACGUAAGUAGUCGAGUCUCUCUAAUUUUGUCCGAUACUGUAUAUACCAAUUAAAAAUAUGGUAUAAUUCUCAUGUCAAAGAAAUAAUUUAGGAAGAUCCUCGUGAAUAUGGUUGGAAAAAUAAUGAAACUUACUGGAGACCAAUAUAAGCAAUACAAGAUCCGAUCCCCAAUAAAGUAAGAAAAGCAUUGUCAAUUCGGUGUUCCGACAAAAAUUGCAACUAUAAUAGGUGCACGUGUUUAUCUCAAGGAUUAAAAUGUUGUGACGAAUGUAAAUAUGCAAUAUGUAGCAACAGACCACAAGAUGAAGAACUAAGCUCGUCAGAUUCAAAGUCUGAAGAAAUCUAAAUCUUUUCAAUUUAUGUUCUUUUUUUGUUUUUGCAAUUCCUGUUUUAACUUAAUAUUAAAAAUAUAAGUGUAAUUCCAGUGCAGUCUGCGUUCCUAAUAAAAAAAAAUUAUCGAAUCGCCAAAUUAGUCAGGAGAUUAUCCAAAUGGGCCUUCAAAACACAUCGAGAGCGCGGUACCGUGCGACAUUUUGUGGGCAUCUUCAAAUUCACAAAUGAGAAAUCGACAAGAAUGGUGUAAACUGGCAUAUUGGGAACUCCAGGAGCGCGUUGGGCCCCUUUUUCCAGUGGAGCCCAACCACCUGGACGUAUUCGGCGAAGUGCCGUGCGGCCCCGACGGGGUCUGUCUCGAC